CUUGCCCUACCGUGUGCGUGGUCAAUCUGACUAUGUUAUGAGCCAACACCAUAACAUAGGGAGCCUGGACUCUGGUUGUGGCGUGUAAGCCUCUGCGGGAGGACACACAAAGCAAUCAGGAGGGC
rnacentral:sRNA from 1 species